rnacentral:rRNA from 1 species
GACGAACGCUGGCGGCGUGCUUAACACAUGCAAGUCGAACGGAAAGGCCCUGCUUUUGUGGGGUGCUCGAGUGUCGAACGGGUGAGUAACACGUGAGUAGCCUGCCCUUGACUUUGGGAUAACUUCAGGAAACUGGGGCUUAUGCCGGAUAGGAGCUCCUGCGGCAUGGUGGGGGUUGGAAAGUUUCGGCGGUUGGGGAUGGACUCGGGGCUUCUCAGCUGGUUGGUGGGGUGGUGGCUUACCAAGGCUUUGACGGGUAGCCGGCCUGAGAGGGUGACCGGCCACAAUGGGACUACGGUACGACCCAGAAUACUCCGGGGGGCAGCAGUGGGGAAUAUUGCACAAUGGGGGGAAGCAGGAUGAAGGAACGCCGCGUGCGGGAUGACGGCCUUCUGGUUGUAAACCGCUUUCGCCUGUGACGAAGCGUGAGUGACGGUAAUGGGUAAAGAAGCACCGGCUAACUACGUG